UUUCUUCUUUUUGUUUCUCUAUCCGUUGAAACCCUAACCACGAGCAAGCUUGACGCCGCCCGCAAAUAGACAAUUGGAGGAGUGACACCGGAGGAGCAGCGGACGUCGUUCUUCGUCGGCAAGGGAAUCUCAGACGAGAAGCUCCUGCACCAUCACAAGGAGACGCAUUUCAUGGCGGGAGAGAUCGUGAGAGAUGCGGUCGAUUAUCGGAAUCUCCGACGGUCUCACCGUCCCCUUCGCUCUCGCAGCUGGCCUCUCCGGUGCCAGUGCUUCCUCCUCUGUCAUCCUCACCGCCGGCGCCAUCUCUAUGGGUCUUGGUUUGAACUUGAAUUGGAGAAGCCACAGCCAAGGAGAGCAUUGGAGAGUGCAAUGACAAUCGCCAUGGCCUACAUAGCCAGUGGCGUGCUUCCUCUUAUCCCAUACAUGUUCGUUUUGACUGACAAAAAAGCAGUCCUUAUGUCCGUGGUCGUUACUUUGGUUGUUUUGCUAUUCUUUGGCUACAUAAAAGGACACUUCACAGGCAACAGGUCCGUCAACAACAUGGUUUAAAAAAACCAUCAGGAAAAUGAAUCGUUUUAG